rfam:Mitsuokella multacida DSM 20544 genomic scaffold Scfld0, whole genome shotgun sequence.
CCUUUGGAGUGUACAAGAACUUGUGAGUAGUCUCAGGCUUGUCUGGACAAAAGCAUACACGAUGAAUAAGGAA